CAUUGUCACCCUACUGUGUGUUCCUGUGCCUUAAUUUCCUUUUCUUAUAAGAACACCAGUCAUAUUGGGUUAGGACCCACUCACAUGACUCAUUUAAUUUUAAUUGCCUCUGUAAAGACCAUAUUUUCAACUAGGAUACUGAGGAUUAGGACUUUAUGAUAUGAAUUUUGGGAGAAUACAAGGCAACCCAUGAAAGUAUUGAAGAGUAUAAUACAUUUUUCUAGAUACAGAGCCAAGAACCCUAAUGGAAGCAGAGACUCCAGCUAAACGAUCCACCACGUCACCGUAGCCACACUGUUUUUACUAUCACCUUUGUUCAGGUUUUGCAGAUGUAACUGCUAUGCCAUCAAUAUGGGUACCACUCUGGCGCUGGGUGCUGCGGGAGGAGGCUGUGUGUGUUUGUGUUGCAAGAACAUCUUGGCCUGGACCCCCUGCCAAGACAAAGCAGGAAGAUGCCCGGGAUGCAAAACACCCUGCCUCGACCCCUAGAGACAGACAACAACAACAGCUAGCCCCCUAUAAAAGCUAACUCUCAGUCCUGGGCUGCGCGACUUCUGGGGCCCCUGCUCUGGGACCCUUGAAUCUUGCCCGGAAGUGCUUUCA